rnacentral:rRNA from 1 species
UGAGGAAUAUUGCACAAUGGAGGAAACUCUGAUGCAGCGACGCCGCGUGAGUGAAGAAGGUCUUCGGAUCGUAAAACUCUGUCCUUGGUGACGAAAAAAAUGACGGUAGCCAAGGAGGAAGCCCCGGCUAACUACGUGCCAGCAGCCGCGGUAAUACGUAGGGGGCGAGCGUUGUCCGGAUUUACUGGGCGUAAAGGGUGAGUAGGCGGUAAUAUGUGUCAGAUGUAAAAGGCUAUGGCUUAACCAUAGUUGGCAUUUGAAACUGUAUUACUUGAGUGCAGGAGAGGUAAGUGGAAUUCCUAGUGUAGCGGUGAAAUGCGUAGAUAUUAGGAGGAACACCAGUGGCGAAGGCGACUUACUGGACUGUAACUGACGCUGAGUCACGAAAGCGUGGGUAGCAAACA